rnacentral:tRNA from 1 species
GGGGAUUUAGCUCAGUGGUUCAAAGCACUUGCUUGGUAAGCAUGAGGUUGUGAGUUCAAUCCCCA